rnacentral:rRNA from 1 species
CAAAACAUGGCUUCUCGUGCAGACCCAGAUGGGAAGUCUUACCUGCCCAGUGAAUAUUUAACGGCCGCGGUACUCUGACCGUGCAAAGGUAGCAUAAUAAUUUGCCUUAUAACUGAAGGCUAGAAUGAAUGGUUUGUCAAGGGUGACCCUGUCUCUAAAAAAUUCUAUAGAAUUUUAUUUUUAGGUGAAAAAGCCUAAAUAAAAUUAAUAGACAAGAAGACCCUAUCGAGCUUAAAAGAGUUAAUAAAAUCUUAAAUAUUACACAAAAACUAAGUUAUUAAAGAUUUUGGUUGGGGCAACCGAGGAGCAAAUAAAGCCUCCUUUUAUCAAAUUUAUUAUAAUGAUCCAGAAAAUCUGAUUAUAAGAAAUAGUUACCGUAGGGAUAACAGCAUUAUUUUUUUUAAGAGCCCAUAUCGAAAAAAAAGUUUGUGACCUCGAUGUUGGACCAAAAUAACCUAAAGAUGUAGAAGUCUUUAAGGGUUGGUCUGUUCGACCAUUAAAAUUUUACGUGAUC